UCUGACAUGAAAUUACCCAAAAUGAAACAUCGUUAUCAAACAUUCCAUGCUAUUAUAUUCUCAAGAAACUUAAAAACACUAUGUUUCUGUUCCAAUAAUUACCGCAUGAAACAUUGUAUCCAUGCUCUCGGAGUAGUCGGAAUCGAAGAGAUGUAGUGUAGAGGUCGUUCUCGGCAUCAUUGUUGUUAUGGUAGAUAUUCUCUAGUUCAUCUUCGAUCUCCUUGGUGAAAUGGUAACUCACACCCAGUCUUUGGACUGAAUCAAUGAAGGCUAACUUUUGGGUCGAAUUAGCCAUUGGUGCCACAAUCAUCUUCCUCACUUCUUCUUUCAAUUGUUGGUGGCGUUUUUCAGUUCCAGCAUCAAUAUUCUGCUCAAAACAAUGAAAAUUUUCUUCAUAUUGAAUCACUAAAUAAUUAAACAAAUAAUAUGUUAAGAUUAUAUCAAUAUGGUGAUAUGUAUGUAUACCUUGUCGGGACAAUUGAGGAAGAAAUCUCCCCAAAUGCUAGGCUGAAAAUCGGCUUUGGGACGGAUUUCAUCCUUAUUGGAAGAAAGGGGUGAUGAAGAAGGCAUUUGAGAAACUUGAGAAGCCAUUUCGAUUGAUCAAAAGCAGAUAUUGAAAAGCUGAAUUUGCAGCCUUUUCUUGGUUUGCUCUUGAAAUUUGGCACAGAAUUUGUGUGAGCAUAAGAGUGCAAUUGUUGCAUGUAUUUAUAGGUAAGAAAAAUAGUGGUGAUAUUUGAAGUCAAAAAAGGAGAACUUAAAUUCAAGAAAACAAAGUGCAUGAGAAAUACAAAUAGAUUAAAAGAAAUGUUGAUUUGUCUUUUGUUUGAUUCUUUUGAUUCAAAGUUGAUGUCUGUAAAAAAUGUUUAAAUAUCCUCUAUUUACUUUAAACUUUUGCAGUUCGAUCAAAAUGUUUGAGGGCAUGAAUGAUAUUUAUUCUUUUCUCUGCUUUUGACAUACUCUUCACAAAACUUUUGUCCAGUAAUCUUAUAUUAAUUUCUUAGGAAAUAUGAUUGGAAAGAAAGAACAAUACGACUCUAUAGUAUUCAAAAUACUGACUUAUUUUGAUAUAAAGUUUUAAAAUUUUACUUUAAAAAAAUGUUUGUCAUGUUUCUUUUAAUCCUUAGUGAUCAAAUGUAUUUGUUUACUUGUUAUCAUUUUAAAAUAAAUAAAUUUGUUACUUAUUUGACCCACUCUCUUUAGGAUAUCAGAAUUGUUUUUAAAUGGAUGAAUUUAAAAACUAAGAAAAGAAAUUGUUUAUAUGUAUCAUUCUUAAAAUUCUAAACAUCAAAUAUUUUAUAAUUAUUUUUUUAAAAAUUAAUAAAAAUAAUAACGAAGAGAUUAAAAAUUAAUAAAAAUUAAAGUAGUUUUAUACACUUUUAUAAUUAUUUAUAUAAUUAAUAUUUUAACGAUAAAACCGUUAUGUUUUAUGGUUUAUUCCUUUAAAUCAUGCAUAAUAAAUUUUAUAUAAAUUUAAUUUAUUUUAUGUAAAAAAUUCAACCAUCAAAUAUAUAUUAAAUAUAUUAAGUAUUUUUUAUAUGAAAAUAAAAAUUGAAUGAAGUCGGUUAAGCAUCUGAAAGUAUUUGCCUUUCUUUUCUGCCUUUUUACAACUGAUUUUUCAUGGAUUUUUAUAGAGCAUGUCAGGUUUGACCAAGGAUUUGUUUACAAUUCACCAUAAACACAUUAGACGCAAUGUUCUCAAGCAUAAUACAAGUUAAGCUGAUGUAAGGAACAUGUAGUGAUUCAAUGCAUAUAUAGUUUAUUCAUGAUGCAAAUGCAAUUAUAAAUUUAAUUUCCAACCUGUCCAUCUUAAUCGCCAUCAAGCAUCGCUCGACACACCAAAACACAUAAAAAAAACUAACCAUCUCGGAUUUGAUUUCCGAUGACGAUGGUCGUUCACUUGUCAUAUGUGACGAUGACUUUUACAACAAUAACUUACCAUCUCAGUUACCCGAUUUUUUAUGGCUUUUUAAACUAUCAUCCUGAUUUAUCCAGUUUUGAUGACAUAGCCACCUACUCUGUGCAAUACUGACUUUUGGUGUGGACUUGAAUUGCCACUAUCUCCUAUGGAACUCCUUCGACCUUCUUACCUAAAUUCAUGUAAUUAUGCACAUACAAUUAGCAUAUUAUGCUAUUUAUCAUCUUUCAAUGCUUCAUUUGAUAUUUCAUACUAUCAUUUAAUGGCAUGUGAUCAUUCAUUCAUUCCCAUCAAUUUCACAUAUACAAUUAAUUUAAGUGAUCUAAAACAAUUUCACAUAUACAAUAUCUUCAUGCGUAUUAACAUUCUUAGUUCGGCUAACACAUACAUAAGCAGGGUUUGCACAUACAGGGUUCUCACAUAUAGGAUUGCACAUAUGGGUUAGCGCAUGUAGGGUUUGCACCUAGGGGUUCGUACAUGUAGGGUUUGCACAUAUGCUACAGUUCACCUAACAGAGUUCGCACAUACAGGGGGGUUCGCAUAGUACCUAGGAUUUUCAUGAUAUGCAAGCUUUGCAUAUUACCUAAGGUUCACAUGAUAUAUAUAGCUCGUAUAGGACCUAGGGUUUGCAUGAUAUACUCGAUUCACAUAUUACCUAGGGUUUGCAUGUUAUAAAAAGCUCGCAAAGUAUGUUUAGGGUGCGCAUGAUAUAUAUGCCUCGCGUAAUAUAUAUAGGGUUUGCAACUUAAAUCCUAUACUAAAAAUCAUGAGGGUUUGCAUAUGUAUAUACAAGCUACAGUUCAUCUAUAGGGGUUCGCGUAUAGAGGUUCGCUCACAAGCUCACACACAGGGGGUUUUGCACACGGGGAUCACACACAGGGCCCGCACAUGCAAGGGGGUUCGCAUAACAUGGGGGUUGCAUAGCAGACUUAUUACUUCCUAACACUACAGUUAAUCAUAUAUAAUGAUUUAUGUUUAGAUCCUACACCUGAUUCGAAGACACAAAAACCUUAAUUUGGAUGAGGAGAAUGAUGUUCUACUUGGGAGGAGAGGGACGAUUUUGGAAACCUUGGAUUUCUUUGCUUGAAAAUUGAUUUGGUAAUGAUGGAGAAAAUGAAGAACUUGAGAGUUUUCCUUGAAAAAUUGACUAGAUAAAAUUUCUAGAGUUUUGAAAAGAUUUCCUAAUUAUAAAACUCUUUUUCCCUAAUUGAAAUAGGUUUUAGGAUUCCAUGGAGAAGCAAGACUAUUUUAAAUUAAGGACUAAAUUAGAAAAUAAAAUUUUUUGGUUUGGGCUAGUUUGAAAAUUCGGCACUUUUAUGGGGUAAAAAUAAGAAAAUAAAAUAUUUUGCUUGAAAGGUGAACAAUAGAUUUCAAACUUGAGACCCAAGAGAAAGCUAAGGCCUUACCAAUGAACUAGUAGACUAAUUCUUGUUAAUUUCUUAUCAAAAAUAAUUUUUAAGGCGUUCUAAAUUCUUUUACCCUAUGCUUAAAAAAAUAAAAUCUAAAUUUUAUCCCUAUUUCUUUUAGCCUUAUUUUUGGGAAGUGACAAUACUCAAAUUUACAAUUUAAUUCAUGUUUUAAGUAUGCUCCACAUUAUAUCCUAAUUGACAUUUAACACUUAAAUUAACUACUAUGCUAAUGGAAAACCUAUUUGAUACCAUGUAAAUAACAUAUUUUGAAGUUUAAAACUAAUUAAGAAUUGGCAUAAUGUCAAAUUUAUCCCUUAAUGUUUACAUUUUUUUAUCAAUUUGGCUCACGACCUUUAAAAAAAAUCAUAUUUGACCAUCAACCUUUCAAAAAAAUUUAAAUUGUUAUUUUUUUAACGGAAAUAUUAGCUAGACAUUAGGUUUUUAGACAUGACAGCUCGCAUAACAAUCCGCAUGUACUUCAUGCUCUCGUUUUUUUUGGAAUUUUUUAUAAUUUAAAUUAUUUCUUGGUGUGACAUAUAAGAUAAAGUGUCAUGUUAGCAUGAAGUACACGUGGAUUACCACACGGGUUGACAUACCAACAUCGUUAAAAAUUAAGGUUUUAAUCAAUAUUUUCAUUAAAAAGUGAUUUGACAAUUUUUUUAAAAAAAAUUGAGGGCCAAAUUUAUAACUCAAAAAAGAAUAAGAACCAAACUGAAAAAAGAUAUAAACAAUUUGACAUUAUACCUUAAACAUAUUGACAAUAAUUUAGAGACAAUUGAUUGAAUUAGCUCAAAAUAAUAUAAGAUAAUGUAAAUGAUAAAACAAGGAUUUCAAUUUAAAAUGGAUUUAUAUGUGAUGCAUUACCGUAAAAUGAAUAUAAAGAAUACAAAAGAAAAAAUUCAUUUAAAUUUUAGAAAUAUGUCCUCAAUUCACUAGCAACAUAUAAAAAGAUUAUAUGAUGAUUGUUGGGAAUCGAUCCGAUUAAGCAACAAACAAGUAAAAAAUAGCGGAAGCAAUUGAGAAAUUGAACACACAAAUUUAACGUGAAAAAACCCCUCCAAAGAGGAUAAAAAACCACGGACAAAGAUAAUUUUACUAUAAUGGCAAAAAAAUAAAAAUUACAAAAGAUGGAGAUAAAAACUAAACCCCGAAACCUAAAAAAAAGAACCCUCAAAAUGUAAAUACAAAAUUCUCCAAAAGUGUAUGAGUUCUAAUAUUUUAAUGGGUGUUUUUUAUAAUGUUGUAAAAGAUCCUAUUUAUAGGCUAAAUUCGUAGGUCAAAUAAUAAUAAAAUAAUCUAGACUAAUCAAAAUUUAACUGAAACAAAUAAACAGGGUUUAACUAAGAGAUUAUCUCUUAAAUUUAACUAUAAGUCAUACUCAACAAUAAUAUUAACCAUUUCAAAAUUACUAUAGAAAUGCUGAAAAUUCUAAGGAUUAACAAGUUUUUCUCUCAUGUAACUUCCUUUUCCAAGAUAACUUAAUUUCCAUAUUCAAAAUUAAGACAAACCAACCUAUUAAACAAAAUACUUUUCAAGUGUAAAUAUUCAUAUUUUAUCAUUUCCAAACAAAAGAAUUUAAAUAAUUAUAUUCAUAUUUUAUAUUUAAUGCGAAUUAAGUGUAAAUAUUCUAAAGGAGACGUACUAAGACCAAUGUUUCUUAAUAAUAAAUAUACAGCAAAUAGAUUUUAUUAAACUUAAUCUUGGACCGGUCAAAAAGAAAUUACGUAUUAUAUUCGGAUUUGAUUUAAUUUCAAUGCACGAAUAAAAUAAUAAUAUAAUAAUAACAGCUUAAAAAGACUGCUAAGGAUACUUAAUGAUAGAAGUCAUGCAUGAUUUAUGAUUCUCACCCAUGCUUCGUGUUGAUUAUUUAUUCUUUUAAUUAAAUUAUUAUAUUUCAAGUUUUUGAAAUAAAAUAUUUAAAUUAACUAAUGAUAUUAAAAAGGAUGAGAAAUCAAAUUAUAAAAAAUUAAAGUAUAUAGAUUAAAUUUAAAAUUUGAGCGAAGUAUACGAAUCAAAACUAAAAUUUAACGACUCUCAUAUAAAGAAAGCUAGUAGGAUUAGAAAAACUUUUAGCCAUUGGUUUAUAAUAUAUAUAAUGCGUAUUUUGUACAUUAGUAGUGUAUUUUUUUAAAAUUUCACAAACAAUCUUAAAAAUUAUAAUGUGUAUUUUUUUAAAAAAAUUACUAUAUUCUUAUAAGAUACUUGUCAAUCUUUAACCGAUUUUACAAAAAGUAUAAUAUUAUAUAUUUUUCCAAAACAUUAUAUUCAUGAAUAACAUGCUUAAAUCAUUGCAAUCUCUUUAGCCUUAAUUAUUCUUUUUAAGUCAAAAGAAUACAACCUUUAAUUAAUAUAUAUAUAUAUAUAUAUAUAUAUAUAUAUAGGUUUUUAAGUUGUUUGUUCUUUUCUUUUUAUUUUUUAUGGUACGUCAUUUAAUGUCCACUAUAGUCUAUCUAGUUGAUAUAACCUUUCUUAUAGCAAAUAUAGUUUCUUUUUUAUAAUUUUGGGACACCAAUCACAAAUUAUCCAUUGUUUUAUUUUAGGGUAAAUUACAUUUCAAGUCAUCCAACUAUUAGUAAUUUUCUUUUUUUAGCCACCCAAUUAUGAAAAGUUACGAAGUGGUCACUCAACUAUUUGGUUUUUUCGUUUUUGGUCACUAGUCGUUGAAUGAUUGGAUAAAAGGUGGCGUAUAACUUUUAAAAUUGGCAUAAUAGAAACUUUAGCACUCAACAUUUAUACAUUGUGACCCUCAGUGUUUACACAUUAUGUAAUUUGGUAUUUUUUUCUUUGUUUUCUUUGUGACCCUUUCACCUAAUAAGCUAAGAAAAACAAUCUAUCAACUAAAUUUAAUUGGAAAUAUAUCAAAAACGAAAACACCCAAAAUCCAAGAUAAUAAUUUUCAUAUUUUCUCAUUCUUUUAAAAUUAACCCUCAAUGUCACAAAUAAAAGUAAAACUGCAAAAAAAAAAUUACACAAUGUGUAAAUGUUGAGGGUUAAUUUUUUUUUGAAUUAAGACUAAAUUGACACAAUGUAUAAAUUAAUGGCCGGUAGUUGGUUGACCAAAUAGAAAAAAGUUGAAUAAUUAUUGACCAUUUUUGUAACAUUUCAUAGUUGCAUGACAAAAAAAAAAAAUACUAAUAGUUGAGUGACUACCAAUGUAGUUCUUCAUUUAAUUAUCAAAUAAUUAUUUUCUAUUAUUUGAACUUAUUGAAAGAAAUUAAUUUUAAUUACUAAAAGGGUAAACUACAACAAUAGUCACCAAUUAUGCCUUCGGUUCUAUUUGGUCACCUGACUAUUGAUUUUUUUUCCAUUUUGCCACUCAAUUUUUUAAAAUUAAAUAUUUUAGUCACUCUCUAGUUAGUUGUUGUUAGAUGAGUGGUGAAAAGCUCGGUAAGCCCUUUUUAUUGAUCUAAUAACAAAUUUAGCUUCCAAUAUUUACAUAUUCUAUCAAUUUGAUCCUAAAUCUAAAACAAAAUCAACAAAAUUAGCCCUAAAUGUUUACAAAAUUUGUCAUUUUAGUUUGAAUUCUAAAAAAAUUAAUAAAUUUAGCCAUCCCAGAAUUUGUCAGUUCUAAUUCUAAAAAUUUCAAUAGAAAAUUGGAAAGUAUUUAAAUUUUUUAAAAUAUUCUUUAACCCAAAAUAUAUUAAACAAGAAGAGUAUUUAACACUAUUUGUAUUGUGCUCUUUUUAAAUUAAUAUCACCUUUUUGAAUAUGGUAAAAAAUCAAAUUGACUUAAAUCCAACUAUUUUAGUGUCAUAUUUUAGAUUAAUAUCAUAUCAUCUAAGAAUCAAUUCCUCUAAAUAGAUUAACAAUUCUUUAAACAAUUACAAAUUAAUUAUUUCCAUGUUUUUCUUAUUUAAAAAAUGUACAAAAUACUUAAUAUUCAAAUAGAGGAAACAAUGAAAUGCGAAAUCUUUCAAAACAUGAAAAACAUAGAAUAUUUGUUUUUUUUCGCCUUUUUUUUUACUUGGACAUAUCAUCAUCAGUAACUUUCAAAUUUGGGUAGAACGUGUAAAUAUUAGAAGACUAAAUUUAUUAUUAGGCCAAUAAAGAAACUCACAUCAGCUUUUCAUUACUUAUCUAACGGCAAUUAACAAGAACGUAACUAAAAUAUUUAAUUUCAAAAAGUUAAGUGAUUAAAUUAAAAUUUUUAAUAAUUGAAUAAUUAAAAUAAAUUGAAAACCAUAGUUGAGUGCUAUUUUUAUAAUUUACCUUUACUAAAAUUAUCAAUAGAUGCGGCGGGUAUUAACUAUUGCACACCAAUCAGUUUCAACAUAAAUACUAAACGUAAAUAAUACAAAAGCAUCAAACUCGAAAUCAAAAACAUUAAAUCUAAAACUCGAAACUUGGAAAAAAGUUACGGGUUUUUCUAGUGUAAAUUUUUUUAGUGAAUUACAAUAACAGGGUAAAGCUCAAACAACAAACACCACUAGUGCAACUCGAACCUCAGCCACACUUGAAGUGGUGAAUACCCUUGACUUUUGAGCCAUCACAUCGGGUUCUCUCACGUACAAUUUUUAUUACCUUAAAAUUUUCUUAUUAAAUAAUAAUUAAAUUAUCCUUGAAGAGUUUAUGUGCACAUUUAUUAUUUAUAUGAAAUUCAAAAGUAAAAUAUUCCAUAGUUUUCAAUAACACGAUGAAAAUAAAAAUAUUAAUAUGUAUUAAUUUAUGAGUCGUUUUAUUAGUUUUUUUUUUCAUCUAAUAGAAGGACAAAUCGAAGAAAAAAGAACUGAAUUAAAUACAGUCUUGAACAAUUAGUAUUUGCUUUUAAAACAUUUAAAUUAGAAUUUAUGUUUCUAUUUAAAUUUUUUGUAUCAGUAUCACUCAUUAAUCAAACAUCAAUUCGAUUAAAAAAUAAUUAAAAAAUAUUAUUUAUAUUAUGAGUAUUCAUUUUUAUCCAGGCUAAACUUAAUUUUAAAGUCACUUUCAAUAAAUCUGAAUUCUAGGGUUAAGUUUAAUUUGAAAAAUCUAAGUUGACUGUUGCUACACUUUCAUAGCUCGAUUUUAUUUUGGAUUUUGACUAUUAAUUUUUUAGUUUAGAUUAUUAUGUUAUUUGUCAGUGUUAUUAACAUUUAAGGGUGGCAUGGCCUCCUGCCUCAUUUUGCAUGGAAAAGCAAAAAAAGGUAAGAAGAAAAAAGAGAGAGGUGACGAGAACAGUGAAGCAUGUAAAGGAGAAAGAAAAGAAGUUUACAAGAGAGGAAGAAGAAGAAGAAGAAGAAGAAGAAGAAGAAGAAGAAGAAGAAGAAAACUACGGAAAAAGAAAGGAGGAAAAGAGAGGAUCUGCUUUGUAUUGUAAUUCUCUUUUGUUUGCAUACGGUGAAAUCUCACUCUAAAUAAACUCAAAUAAAAGGUAAUAUCUUUUGGCUUAAUAUCUGAAAUUUUCACUUUGGUUCUUUUAUAAAAACAUAGAAAAGUAAUAAAAAAACUAAAAAAAUCAUAAUAUAUUUUUCAAAACUAUAUUUUUUUGAAAAAAAAAGUAUAAGCAUGCGAAACUUUGAAAAAAAAGUUAAAAAAAAAAGAGAGUUUCUUUUUGGAAUUUUAGGUUUGUAGAAAAUUUUAGGUUUUUAGAAAAUUUUGGAAUUUUAUUAAAAUUUAGAAGAAAUUUAUGGGAUUUUUUUUUUGGAAAUCCUAAGUAAAAAUUACCAUAAAAUUCUUAAAUUUUUUCAUAAAAUUCUAUAUUUUUAUAAAACCCUAAAUUCAAAAAAGAAAAACAUUUUUUAUAUUUUUAUGAUUUUUUUAUUUUCUUGAAGUUCUGCAUACUUAUAAGUUUAGUUUUUUUUUUAUAAUUUUCAAAAAUAGAUUAAGAUUUUUUAAAAGUUUAUUUUAUAAUUUUCAAAGUUAUAAGAUUUUUUGGGGGUGUUUUUUUAAUAUAUAUAUAUUUGGAAUUUUAAUAUUUUUUAGUUUUUUAUAUUUUUAAAAUUUUUAAGUGAAUUUGAAAUAGAUUAAUAUUUUGAUUUUGUUUUAAAUUUCAGAAUUUUAAGAUUUUUCUGGAUUUAAAAAAAAUGUUUUUUUGGGGAAUUUUAAUGAUUUGUUUUAGUUUUUUUAUAUUUUUUAAAUUUUAAGUGAAUUUGAAAUAGAUUAAGAUUUUAUAUUUUUUUUUGUGGUUUAAGAUUUUUGGGACUCUUUUAAAAAAAUUAUGAUUUUUGUGGAAUUUAAAUGAGUUCUUAUUUUUUUUAAAUAAUUUUUUGUAAAAAAAUAAUUUUUAUAAUUUUCAAAGGUAGAUUAGGAUAUUUUAAAAAAAAAUUCUAUGUUUUCAAAUUUUUGUUAUUUUUGAGAUAUUUUGGAUUUUUAAUUUUUAAGUAAAAUUUUUAAUUUUUUAAAAUGUGGCACAGCAAGUCAUUCGUCGAUUUAAUAUUUUUAAUGAAACUUGCUAAAAGGGCUAAGUUAGUGACGAAAUGGAAAUAGAGAAAACAAUCUGACCAAAAAAUAAUAAAAGGCCAUAAUAAGAAUUUCACUAUAGUACAAAGACCAAAAAUAGUAUUAAGCUUCUUCAUGCAUAACAGUUAAUUUCGAAUUUAGAUUUUGAUUUCGUAGAUAAAAAAUUAUUUUAAUUGAUUUUAAAAUUUUAUUAUAACCAUGAUUUUCUAAAUAACAAAUCACAGUUAAAUAAAAAAAAUAUGUCUAUGUUAGAAAUUUUAUUAGGGUUGGUUUUGAUGAUGUUACAUAGCCAACUUUUCGCUAGAAAUUAAAGCGCAAACUGAUCGAAUUUGUACCAUUUGCUUCAAGUCUUCUCUUUUCUACAAGGGAUGGUUGAGGGUUUUUCAUUUGGAUGCACAAAAAGUAAUCUUUUACGAUCUGAAAGUUUUAAGUAAAUAAAAAAAAUGACAGUGAAAAUCUUCAUUCUUUUAGAUGAAGAAGAUGAGGGGGAUUUUUUAAAAAUAAUUUUCAGAUUUUCAACAAAAUAUUUUUAAUUUUAUUUUUUUUUUUCAAAUUUGAAUGAUUUUAAAUAUAUAUAGUAUUGAGAAUUUUGUUAGAGUUGAGUGGUUCGGAUUCUUGUUAAAAUAAAAUAUAGUGGUAAAUUAAAAUAAAAGUAAAAUCCAAUAGAAUUAUACUUCUUUUAUUUUGCAUUGAUUAGAAAAAGGUUUUUCAACAUUACUACACUUCAUCUAUUUGACAUUGAUUAAAAUAAGGUUUUUCAACCUAUAAAUAGAUAUAGUCUAAAUUUCUCUUGUAUCAUUCGAAUUCGACAUUAGUGAAUUUUCUUCUCCUCUACCGUGGUUUUUUUCUCGAAAGGGUUUCCGCGUAAAAUCUGUGUUUUCUUAUUUUUCUUUCUUUUGCUUUGUGAUUGUUUUAUAUUGUCAUUGUCGACGUUCAACUUUUACAAACUGGUAUCAAAGCUUUUCGGGUUGUUUGUCUCGAUCAUGGUAAUGACGACAUUGAAGUAUGAUAUUCGACUAUUGGAUCACAACACCUGGUUCGCAUUAUGGAAGAUAAAGAUGCAGCCAGUUCUUGCACAAAUGGAGUUAGAGGAUGCCUUGCUAGGGGUAGAUAAGAUGCCUUCGACAUUGACGGAGGAGGAGAAGAAACAUAAAGAUCGAAAGGCUUUAACACAAUUACAUCUACAUUUGUUGAAUGAAAUUCUACAGGGCGUGAUGAAUGAGAAGAUCGUUGGUGCAUUACGGGCAAAGUUGCAACAACUAUACAUGUCGAAAACCUUAACUAGCAAGUUGCAUAUAACCAGCGUCUUUAUGCUCAUCAUUUGGAGGAAGGUGCGUCUGUGCACGAACACUUAACUGUGUUUAAAGAAAUUCUUUCUGACCUAGAGGCCAUGGAGGUUUAGUAUGACAAAGAAGAUUUAGGUUUAAUUCUACUUUAUUCGUUACCCCCGUCUUAUUCAACCUUUACAGAUACGAUUUUGUAUAGUUGUGAAUCUAUCACAGUUUAUGAACUCUAUGCUUCUUUAACAUCGUAUGACAAGAUGAAACAUCCUGUGGUUGGAUCCGACUCUCAGGGAAAGGGUCUCAUUGUUCGUGGGAGACAAUAACAAAAUACUAAUGAUAAUCAUCAGAGGACAUAAGAGCAAAAUCCUCGCAGUAAAUCUAAGGGUAGAUCAAGAUCUUCAAACAAAGGUAAAACCUGUGACUUCUGUAAGAAGAAAGGGCACAUUAAAUCUAAGUGCUAUAAGUUGUAAAACAAGAUCAAAAGGGAGACUGUGAAUCAAAAGGGAAAACAACCAGAACAAUCCGGUGAAGCUGAUGUAGCAGAAAACUACAGUGAUGGUGAACUUCUAGUUAUUUUUGCCAACAAAUUUAAAGUGAGCGAGGAGGGGAUCCUCGAUUUUGGUUGUACGUUCCAUAUGAGUCCAAAUCGAGAUUGGUCUACAACAUAUAAAACUAUGUCUGAAGGUGUUGUUUUGAUGAGAAAUAAUGUUUCAUGUAAAAUCGCAGGUAUUGACAUGAUCAAAAUUAAAAUGUUCGAUAGAGUUAUCAGAACACUUAGUGGCAUACGACAUGUACCAUGAUUGAAGAGGAAUUUGAUUUCGUUGAGUACUCUUGAUUCAAAAGGGCACAAGUACAUAGCUGAAAGUGGAGUUCUAAAGAUUAGUAAUGAUUCCCUUGUUGUGAUGAAAGGGCAGAGAAAGAUUGCCAAGUUAUAUGUUUUGCAAGGUUCUACUGUUACUGGUGAUACAGCCGUCGCGUCCUCUUCCUUGUCAGAUGAUUAUGUUACUAGACUUUGGCAUAUACGUCUAGGGCAUAUGAGUGAGAAUAGCGCGGCAGAAUUAAGCAAAAGAAGACUUCUUGAUGGACAAGGCAAUAGCAAACUGAAGUUUUGUGAGCACUGCAUUUUUAGGAAGCAAAAGAGAGUUUGAUUCACUAGAGGAAUCCAUAACAUGAAGAGAAUGCUAGAUUAUAUUCAUUCUGAUCUUUGGGGACCAUCCAGAGUGCCUUCGAAGGGUGAUGCUAAUUAUAUGCUGACAAUCAUUAAUGAUUUUUGCAGAAAAGUGAUGUGUUUUUUGUGUUUAAGACUUGGAAAACUAUGAUCAAUAAGCAGACAGGAAAAUAGAUAAAACACCUUCGUAUAGAUAAUGGCUUGGAAUUAUGUUCUGACGAGUUUAUUAAAUUGCGCAAAUCAAAAGGAAUCAUGCGACUCUUGGCAGUUUGUCAUACUCCACAGCAAAACGGCGUUGCACAAUGGAUGAAUAGAAUAAUCAUGGAAAAGGUUUCAUGUAUGUUAUCAAAUGCUUGUUUACCGAAGUCGUUUUGGGCUGAAGCAGCCUGUAUUACAUGUUUUUUGAUUAACCAGUCUCUGUUUGUUGCCAUUGGGAAAAAGGCUCCACAAAAGGUAUGGUCUGGUAAUCCUACUGAUUAUUCUAAUUUGAGGAUUUUUGGGUGUCCUUUGUAUGUUCAUGUUGAUAAUGGGAAAUUGGAACCUAGAUCCAUUAAAUGUGUUUUUUCUUGAUUAUAAGGCUGGUGUUAAAGGAUAUAAAUUAUUGUGUCCUGAAAAUAGAAAAGUUGUGAUUAGCAGAGAUAUUAUUUUUUAUGAAACUGCUAUGCUACCUAACUUAUCUCUUAAAGACUCUUCCAAUAGAAACCAGGAAAAACAGGUGGAGCCUCAGAUAGAUCCAGGAUCUAUAACAGAGUCUACUUCUUAAGUUAGUACAGAAACUUAGAGUAGAGUUGUUCUUCACCACAGUAUUCUACUACCAAGAAUAAACCUAGAAGAGAAAUUAAACCUCCAAAGAGGUACGUUGAGGUCGAUCUAGUUGCUUAUGCUUUAAAUGUGGCUAAAGAUAUAGAUGCAAAUCAAAAGCCAUCUACUUAUUCUGAGGUAAUUAAUUAUGAAGAUUUAAGAAAAUGGAUGAUUGCCAUGCUAGAAGAGAUGGAAUCGCUCUAUAAGAAUAGAACGUGGGAUCUAGUGAAAUUUCUUAAAGGUAAAAAGGUUGUACGUUGUAAAUGGGUGUUCAAAAAGAAAUAAGGAACUCCAGGAGUUGAAGAACCCAUAUAUAAAGUAAGGCUGGUUGCAAAAGGUUAUAGUCAGAUUUCAAGUGUAUACUUUAUAGAUAUGUUUUCUCCAGUUGUGAAACAUACUUUGAUUCGAGCCUUGUUUGGUAUUGUGGCCAUGUAUGAUUUGGAGCUUGAGUAGUUAGAUGUAAAUACAACGUUCUUGCAUGGGGAAUCUGAAGAAGAUAUUUACAUGCAACAACCAAAGGAUUUUACUUAUCAGAAAAGGAUGACUAUGUUUGCUUGUUGAAAAAGUUCAUUUAUGGCUUGAAACAGUCACCAAGGCAGUGAUACAAGAGGUUCGAUUCUUUUAUGACUACUCAUGAUUUCAAAAGAAGCAACUUUGAUAGUUGUGUUUAUUUUAAGAAAAAAAGGGAUGGUUCUUUUGUGUAUCUACUCUUCUAUGUUGAUGACAUGUUGAUAGCAGCCAAUAGUCUGUAAAGGAGAGAUAAGAAAGUUCAAAGCCCAACUUAAUAAAGAAUUUGAGAUAAAGGGUUUGAGAGCAGUAAAGGAGAUACUUGAGAUGAAGAUUCUCAGAGAUAGAAAAGCGUGUAAAUUGUACCUAAGUUAGAAAUGGUACAUUGAGAAAGUUCUUUGCAGGUUCAAUAUGCAGAAUGCCAAGCCUAUUAGGACUCUAUUAGCAACCCACUUCAGACUUUCAUCAGUUUUGUCCUGCAAUCAGUAUUCUAGUGUAGUGGGAUCUCUCAUGUGUGCUAUGGUUUGCUCAUGUCCAGAUUUGUCAUAUAUAAUUAGUGCAAUUAGUAGAUACAUGGCGAAUCCCAAUAAAGAACACUGGAAAACAGUUUAGUGGAUUUUCAUAUACUUAUGAGGUACUACUAAUGUUUGCUUAUAGUUUGGAAGAACUAGAGAUGGAGUCAUUGCGAAUGUUGAUUCUGAUUUUACUGGAUACCUUGAUAAAAGAAGAUCUCUCAUAGGGUAUGUCUUUACAAUUGGGGGUUGCACAAUCAGUUGGAAAGCUACUUUGCAAACUACAGUUGCUUUGUCUACUACUGAAGCUGAGUACAUGGCGAUUAUCGAGGCUUGUAAAAAAACUAUUUGGUUAAAGAGACUCUUUGGUGAACUCAGUAAAGACCUUUAGAUCAAUACAUUGUUUUGUGAUAGUUAGAGUGUCAUCUUCCUUACGAAUGAUCAAAUGUUUCAUGAGAGAACAAAUCAUAUUGAUGUUCGGUAUGAUUUUGUGCAUGAUAUUAUUUUCGUGGUGAUAUUGUUGUGAGAAAAGUUAGUACUCAUGAAAAUCCUACAGAUAUGAUGACUAAGUCACUUCCUAUAACCAAGAAGUUUGAGUCUUGCUUGGACUUGGUUGGUAUUCAUUGUUGAAGAGCACCCUUUAAAGGGUUUUGUGGAAGAGGUGGAGAACUUGUUCGUUAAGAGUUCGUGGUGAAGAACUUGUUCGCUGAGAAUUCAUGUCAAGGUGGAGAUUGUUAGAGUUGAGUGACUUGAGUCCUUGUUAAAAUAAAAUAAAAAUAAAAAUAAAAUUCAUAUAAAACUAUACUUCUUUUAUUUUACAUUGAUUAGAAUAAGGUUUUUUAACCUUACUACACUUUAUCUAUUUGACAUUGAUUAGAAUAAGGUUUUUCAACCUAUAAAUAGACGUAGUCUAAACUCCUCUUGUAUCUUUCGAAUUCGACAUUAGUGAAUUUUUUUUUCUCUACCCGUGGUCUUUUUUUCCCGAAAGGGUUUCCACGUAAAAUUUGCGUGUUCAUAUUUUUCUUUCUUUUGCUUUGCAAUCGUUCUAUAUUGUUAUUGUCGACGUUCAACUUUUACAAAUUUUUUAAAUUGCUAAUUAACAUAGUAUAAAUAAUUUAAAUAAUUUGAGUAAUUGAGUUUAGUUUUUAGAGUCAGAUUUGGACAAGAAUUUUUGCACUUCGAACCGGCCUGACUUGAAUUCAAUUUAAAUAAUAAAAAAUAUUUUAAAAUUAAAAUUUAAUUCUAAAAUUAUAUAAAAUAACAAUUAAAAAUUUAUUUUUAAUAUUUUAUUAAUUUUUAACCCGAAAAUAGACUUAAACUUGAAAAAUAUUUUAAACUAGAUCUCGACUCAACCCAACUUUUAACUCAUAAAUAUCUAAUGAUGAAUUGUUUUCAAUUCUUUGCUUUAAACAUGAAUUUAUAUUUGCAAGUGUACUGCCAUUAUAAUAGUAAAAGCUUUAAAAGAAUGCUUGACUAUUUCAAUAACAUAUUUUUCACAAUUAAUUUAACAUAAUUUUCAGCAUAAUGAGAUAAUUUAAGGGGGGAAAAGGGGCACAUUGAUCAUAUUUUCAGCAUCCAUAAAAAAACAGUAAAAUUAUUGACUUGAAACAUAAUAUACGGACUCCGGAGGAACCCCUUAGACUGAGAGUGUUGAAAAGUCUUUUGGAUCAUUGUAAAGGACAAAUUAGUCAAUCUUAGUGACGAAGAAUUCGUUGAAAUAAGAAAUAAAAAUGAGAAACAUAUAAUAAGAUUUAAUCUAUUAAUUAAUCAUGUGCAACUGUGAUGUGUGUCGGGCGGAGCCAGAGGAAUUGGCAGGAAUUUCGGUUACCCUUAAAAUGAAAAAUUUUUUAUUUAAGGUUUUUUAUAAUUUAUAAAAUUUUAAAUUAGUAAUGAUAAAAUUGUACUUUGACCCUAAAAAUAAUAAAUUUUGAUUUAAUUUUUUAAAAAUUAUAAAGAUAUAAACUAUUAAAAUGAUAAAAUUAUCUUUUUACUAUCGAAACAAUAUAUAAUUUAUUUUCAGGCCCUCUAAAAAGAAUUUUUAAAUUCACCCGACGCUUUAAUUUCAACAUGAAUAUAAUUAUUUAACAUGUGUUUGUUUACUUCAUAUUUAUAAUAAAAAAAAAAGAAAGAAAAAAAAAUGUCGGCUUGACUCUUUAAAUAAGGUAUUUUUCACAAUUAAUUUAACAUAUUUUUUUCAAAUUGAAUUCUAUAGUUGUAUGAUUCAGUCAAUACUAGAAUUUUAUAUUUGGAACUCAUAAUUUUAAAAAAAAUAUUCAAAGGGAAUCAGCAAAUUUCAGUAAAGGCGUCUAGAUUUAUCAAUAAAAUUAAUAUAUUCUUCCCUUAUUGUGCAUUCGUAGUUCUACUAAUGGCAUUAAUAAUUCAUUUGGAUAAACUUUAAAUUCUAAAAAUAACUUUCACUUAUUAUAAUUACUUUUUACUAAUUGAUAGUAAACUUAUCUAAUACUGAGUAAUUAAGUAUUACAUUUUUAUUUAUAUUAAACCAAAUCAAUUAAUUUCUAACACAAUAUAAAAAUUAAAUAUUUAAUAUAUUUUUUAAAUUUGGCAUGUUAAAAAAAAGAAAGAAAUAACGGCUAUUAAAAAAACGUAAUAAUUUAUUUAGCCCUUCAACUUUAUAAAAUGUCAUUUUAAUUUUUCAUUUAAUUUUUCGUCUCUUUUAGCUCUUGAAUUUGCAUUGUUUGUCAAAUCAUCCCAAAAUGGAUGGAAAAAUUAAUGUUUGUUAACUUUAUUACUAUGGCAUCCACGUAUGUGCCACGUUAACAAUUAAUUAAUUUUUAAAAUUUUCAAAAUAUAUUUUUAAAAUUUUUAAAAUGAUUUUAAAUUUUAAAAUAUUUUUUAUAUAUUUUGUUAAACUUUCUAAAUUUUAAAAAUUUUAAUUGUUGAGAUUUCAUUCACAUAGCAAUUUACAUAUAUACCACAUCAACAAAGUUAACAUAUAUUAACUCCUUUCUUUUUAGUAUUUUUGAAUUUAAGUAUUUCCAACAAGCAUGUGGUCAGUUGGUAUAGUUUGAAACUUUUAGAUUUUUAAAAUUUUUCAUAAUUUUUAAACUUAAAAUUUAAUUUUUAUAAAUAGUAUAAAUAUUGUAUAGUAGAAACUUAACAUUAAAUAUAUAUAUAGUUUGGCGUGCAUAUGUAUGAUAUUUUUUUUCUUGAGGUACAUAUAUAUAAUAUUAUAUAGGAUAAAUUAUAAAAAUAUUCAUUUAUCUGUGGUUUAAAUUACAUUUUAGUCAUUGGACUUUAAUUUGUUACGAAAUGGUUACUAACGUUAUCGAUUUAUAAUAUUUAGUUAUUGAGCUAUUAAGUAUUAUUAGUGAAAUAACAGUAAGCUAACGUAAGAUGUUAAGUAAUUAUGUUAGAUGAAAAAUUUAAGUUGAAUUGCAGAACUAAUCACUAUAUAUAUAUAUUUCUUUUUUAUAGUUCCUAAAAAUUUUUAAAUAAAAAUGAUAUAAAAAUUUUAAAAAAACUAAAAAAUAUAUGAAAGGAUUAAUAAUAUAUAAAUAAAUAAAAUUUAAAAAAAAUCCUAUUUUCAAAUCCAAUCCUUUGCUUGAUUUUCGAAAAAAAACUUAGAAAUCCCUAAAAAUCUAAAGUUUAGGCUUUCCACCUUCUGAAAUGGGCUUGUCACUUUUCUUUCUUUUGUUUUCUUCUCAAUUUCUUCAUGUUUUUUAUUGCUAAUGAUGAAUCUUUUAUUCAGAUUUCUCUCUUUUGAAAUGGACUUUUAUUUUAUGAAAGCACGAAAUGACCAUUGAAUGAUGGUAAGGGGAGCUAGAAGUUGAUGCUUUAGUUUAGUUCUGUAGCUAGGAGAUUGAAGGGUUAACUCAUAACGAAGCUUAAAACAUAUUGUUAAAAUUAACGAACACUUUAGCCACAGGAGUUAAAUGAGAUGUUAAGGGUCUCUUCUAUCUUAACCAGUGGUCCAAGGUUCAAUUAUUAUCCUGGGUAUGGAGUAAUUUUAAAACUCGUUGUCCGCAUCUACCCCUUAAUGGACCUAUUGAAUGUGGAGGAUUAAUUAUUAAAUUCACUCGAAUAACUUAGAGAAAUAAAAAAAAAUUGAUGAAACCUUUCUAAUUUGCAGCAAACCCACAAACCCAAGGAACAAAAGUGCUUAUUAUGGCCAAACUAAAUUAAAAUUAAAAUAUAUUGAAUAACCUAAAUCAAUUAUUGAAUAUCUUAAAACAUUUUAAUGUUUACCUAAUUUUUCAUAAUUUCGUAAAUUACUAAAUUUCGUAAAAAUACUGAAUUACUAAAACUCUUAAAGAAUUAUUGAAUUACUGAUAGAAUUCCUUAAGAAAUUAGAUAAAUAAAAAAUGUCAUAAUGGAUUCAGUAAUAGUUGAAAUUUUUUUUGGUAAUCAUGUAAGUAAUUCAGUAAUUAUUAUAAAUUCAGUAAUUUUAAAAAAGUUUUAGUGUGGGCUACUUAAAAUACUGAAUUUGCUACAACAUUGUAACAUUUUCAAUAAAUUAUUGAAUUUCUUACAAUGUAAAUUACUAAGUCUUUUACAAAGCUACUUAUAUUAGGAAUACAGAUUUCUUGUAAUAUUACUAAAUAUUUAAUAAUAUUACUGGAUUUUUUACUUACAACUCAUGAGAAGAUUAUUUCUAAACAACUUUUUUUUAGAAAAUUUCUAAAACAGAAAUGGAAAUUUCACAAUGUGGGUCAUUGUAUUAUGAAGUAAAAGACUAAAUUAAUUCAUUAAUUAUUGUUAGAGUUUGUGUGACCCAAAUCCCGUCAUUUGUUGAAGAACUAUGUUUAUUCUAUUUGAUAUUGAUUAGAAUAGGAUUUUUUAACCUUUUUAAUAGAUGUAGUCGAAAUUUCUCUUGUAUCAUUCGUUUUUCAACAUUAGUAAAUUUCUUCUCCUUUGUCCGUAGUUUUUUCCCGAAAGGGUUUCCACGUAAAAUCUGUGUUCUUUUUUUUUCAUACUUUGCGAUCAUGCUAUUGUCAUUAUCGACGUUUAUUAUAACAAUUAUAAAAGUCAACAAUUUUGUCUCUAGACAUUUUCGCUUUGCUUGUUGGAGUGGAAAGAAAAUUGGAAAGAUGGAAAAUUGAAGGGGUUGAAAAUUAGAAGGAUGGAAAACAUAAAUUUUCUUUCCAUAGGUGUGUUUGAUAGGAGAAAUGAAAAAGUGGAAAAACAAAGUAAUUUUCUUUCCCUCUAUUGUUUGAUAGAGAUAAAAAAUGAAAUGAAAGAAAAUAGCAUAAUUUUAAAUUAACAUACACAUCUUUAUAAUAUUCUCUCCUCUCAUCUUUCCAAUUUGGAAGGAUUGAUUUCUAUGCAUUAAGAUGAAAAAUGAUUCUCUCCUAUUUUCUUUUCUCUCACUUUUAUUCCCUACGAAGUACAAUUAAAUUUUAUUUUCUUUCCACUUUUCCACUCCUUCCUCCCAUUCCUCUAGUUUUUCAACCAACCAAUAACACCAAUAAUUUUGAAGCAAAAAGGUAAGAUUUAAACAAAAGUAAUCUUAAACAUUAAAGAAUUGGUAAACUACACUUAUAGCCACUCAACAACUAGUAAGUUUACACUUUGGUCACCUAACUAUUCAAAGAUCAUUUAAGUUUACCUCAUUGUAUUUGUAAUGGCCAAAUUUGUUUGUUUGGUUAUGGAAUUCCUUUAUCAGUCCAUGUGGAAGAAUGAUCCUUGGAGUAUUUAUGUAAGUGUUCCAUUGUAACUACUAUAUUAUAAUUUGACACCAUCAUGCUUAUGAUAAUGUGGUGCCUACGUUGUUGAUAUAAUUGAUUUUAUUUGUUCCAUUUUUAUGUCAGUGUGCUUGGGUGGAUCACCCCUCUAUUGCAAUUGAGCAAGAGAUUAUAAAGUGGCCUUCCAUGAGAUAAUGUUUUUGGGCAAGGUGUAAUGUGUUGUCAUUGGCUUGCCUAGAGAGGUGAUGUUGAUGGUGUAGACAUUUUGUUGGUGGAGCUUCUUGGUGAGUUUGAAAGGAGAGCUUUGUAGCACUAAUUCUAAAGGGCAAGUUGAUAAUGGUAGGGCUUAAAGAGGUGAAGGUGCUGUUAGCUUACUAAGAGAGAUAACAGCAAUAUGAAAAAAAAUAAAGGAAAGGGAAAAUAAGAUGAUCAGUUCAUUUAUUCGCAACAUCAAGAACCUAUUAUAUAUGCAAUUACAUAACAGAAAAAACAAGAAAUUAGGCACUAACAUAAUAAGGCUCACAAUAGGACUCACAAUAAGGGAAAUAAUUAGCCAGGUCUGGUGAAUAUGUCAUCCAGCUGAUCUUUACUCUUGCAGCAUUUAAGAUCAACUACCCCAUCAUUGUUAAGAUCUCUCAAAAAAUAGUACUUCACAUCAAUAUGCUUGCUUCUACCAUGUAAUACUGGAUUUUUUGAGAGUCCGAUAACUGAGUUGUUGUCACAAAAAAUUAUUGUGGCUCCCAUUCUCUUGAAUUUCAGCUCCUCCAAGAUUUUUCUCAACGAAAUAGCUUGACAAGCACAAGUUGUUGCAACAACAAAUUCAGCUUCAGUUGUUGACAAAGGAACAAUAGAUUGCCUUUUGGAUGACCAUGAAACAACUCCGAUUUCCAUCAUGAAAACAUAAAUUGAAGUGUUUUUUCUAUCAUCUAGAUCUCCUACAGUCACAGUCAAUGAACCUAAAUAGAUAUUAAAAUUCUCCUUUUUUGUAAAACAACCCAAAAUAUAUGGUUCUUUGCAAGUAACGAAGGAUUCUCUUAGUAACCAAUAAAUGCAUCUCUGUAGGAUUCUCCAUAAACCUAUUGAUCAAACUCACAAAAUAUAUUAUGUCAGGUCUUGUACCAAUCAAGUACAUUAAAUUGCCUACAAUCUGCUUAUAAAAAGUGUUGUCCACUUACUUUCCUUCUUUGCUCAACUUCAAGCCAAACUCAAUGGUGGUGCUUGCUAGAUUGAAAUCCUUCAUGUCAAACUUGCUCAGAAUAUCUUGAACGUAUUUCCUUUGAGAAAAAAAUAUUCCAUUAGUUGAUUGCACUACUUCUAUGCCUAGAAAAUAAUGCAUCAUACUAAGAUCUGACAUUUUAAACUCAACCAUCAGACUUCUUGAAUCCAUUAAACAUGGAACUACAAUUUCCAAUGAAAAUAAGACCAUCAACAUAUAAACUCACAAUAAGUAUUUUCCUUUUAUCACCAGUUUUAAUGAAAAGAGUAGACUCACAAGGACACUUGGGAAAACCAGCUUUCAAGAAAUACGCUUCAAUUCGACUAUACCAAGCAUGUGGGGCUUGUUUCAACCCAUAUAAAGCCUUUUUUCAGUUUAUAAACUUUAUUUUCACUUUCAUGUUUAACAUAACCAGUAUGUUGUUCAAUAAAAACCUAUUCUUUGAGCUCACCAUGUAAAAAUGUCGAAUUCACAUCUAGUUGGAAGAUAGGCCAAGAGUAUUAGACUAUAAGUGAAAUCACCAAUCUGAUUGUAUCAUGCCUUGGAACAGGAGCAAAGGCUUCUUUGUAAUCUACCCCAAACUCCUAUUUAUAACCUUUAGCCACAAAUGUGCCUUAUACUUAUUAACUUCUCCAUUCUCUUUCAACUUUGUCUUGUACACCUAUUUGACACUAAUUGUCUUGUGCCGUUUUGGAAGUUUAGUCAACUUGUAUGUAUCAUUCCUCUCUAUACUGCAAUUUUUUCAUCCAUUGUUUUUCUCCAUUUUGACUCAUUUACAGCACUUUCAAAGGUUGUUAGAUCACAAUCCGCAAAUAAAGCAAAAUGGAUGGUUGGAUCUUCAGUCUGCCCAACGCUGAUUACCUCAAAAUCUCCUAUCCAAGCUGGUCUCCGUCGAAUAUAGCUAGGAUGAGGUUCAACUACUUCUACUUCAAUGGUUAUUAGAGUAUUAUUUGGUGAACUCUUAAGAUUAAGUGUUGCUUGAGUCUACUAAUCUAAAGGCUACUGCUUUUCAUCUUCAACUUCAGUACCAACAAAGGUUUGAAAAGGUUGUUUGUCAUCCCAAUUCCAAGUAUUCUCCUCAUAAAAAAUUACAUCCCUGCUAAUCACAAUUUUCUCCUUUAAAGGAUUAAAAAAUUUAUACACUUCAGAUGUUUCACUUACACCUAGAAAGACACACUUCUCUCCCUUGACAUUAAGCUUCUUUCUCUUUACAUUUGGAACAUGUGCAUAAGUAAUGCAACCAAAAAUUUUGAAGUGAUCUGCAGCUGGUCUCCUUCCACUCCAAGCUUCUUCAGGUGUCAUGUUUUGAACAGAAAAAGUUGGGCUUCUAUUCAAGACAUGGAUGCUCCAAUUUACUCCUUUUGCCCAAAAUUAUUUUAAGACCCUUCCACUAGCAAGCAUGCUUUUCACCAUAUUAAGUAUGGUUCUGUUUUUCCUCUCUUAUAUGCUAUUUUGUUGGGAGGUAUAUGCAGUGGUAAGCUUUUUCCAGAUGUCAUGGCUCUCACAAAAUGCUUCAAAUUCCUUGAAAUAAUAUUCUCCACCACAAUCAAUGCGAAGAACUUGAAUGGUUUUCCUGAUUUCAUUCUCAACAAGUGCCUUGAAGCUAGUAAAUGCACUAAAUGCUUCCAAUUUCUCCUGCAAAAAGUAAACCCACAAUUUUUGGAAAUAAUCAUCGAUGAAAGUAAAGAAAUAAAUUUUACCUUCAUUAGAUUAUGGUUUUAUUGGUCCACAGAUAUCUGAAUGAACCAAUUCCUGCACAUGUUUUGCUAUCUAAAACUUUCUUUUGGGAAAUUGUUCAUGAUGUUGUCUGCUAACAACACAAUCUUCACACACAUGGUUUGGAAUGACAAUCUGAGGGAGGCCGUUGACCAUCUCUUUCUACCAAAGAGUCUUCAAACCCUCAAAAUUAAGAUGACCACAUCAAAAAUGCCAAAGCCAUGUGUUGUCCUUCACUUUAGCCAUCAAGCAAGGUUGAAAACAAUCAAUCACUAAUGGAAACAACCUGUUGGAACUCAUUGGAACCACUGGAAUAGCACCUCUAGAAGGAUCAUAAAUUUCACAAGCACUUUUUGAUACCGUAAUCACAUAUCUUUUUCCUUGCAAUUGACCAGCACUUAAUAAGUUACUUUUCAAAACAGACACAAAGAAAACAUGGGACAUUGUUUCUUCAAAACUAUUAUUGGUUCUUAUACUAAUACCACCCUUUCCCACUACAUCAACAAUAGAUUUAUCUCCAAAAGGCACAUUAAUGUGAAAGUCUUCAUUUAGAUAAGAGAAAGAAAACUUAUUACCACACAUGUGGUUGCUACAGCCUGUAUCCACAUACCAUAAACAUGAGUUUUGUGGCUUCUCUUGCUUGUCAUGAAUUGCCAUUAACAAGGUUUUAGCUUCUUUUUAUGAAAAUUUUGACUUUUCUCCCUUUUCCUUAUCAUUAGAUAGAUUAGUACGACAUUCAAAACAAUAAUGACCAAACUUAUAACAUCCAAAACAUUCUACCUUUGACUUGUCAAAUUGUCGAUCUUGUUUUUUUCCUUUAUCAUCUAAUCUGGCAUACCUGCCACUAUUUUUAUUCCAACUGUCUCCUCUGUCUCUUCCCUUUCCUUGACCUCCGUUUCUUCUUUUGAAAGAAUGAGUUGAAGUUUUCAAAGCCUGCUCCAUUGGGGGUAGAAGUUCUAUUCAUCUUCUAUUUAUGGACCAACAAGGAACUCUGGAGUUCAUCAAUGGUGAGUGCAUCAAUGUCCUUGGAUUCUUCAAUUGAGUAGACAACAUAAUCAUACUUUGGUGAUGAGGACCGUAGUAUCUUCUUAGCAAUGGUUGUGUCAUUCAUCUUCUCACCAUGAAAUCACAUAUUACUCAUGAUUCCCAUGGAAGAACCUCAAGGUCCUUCCAAAGAGCCUGAAGCUAUGCACGCUUCACUUUGAAAAAAGCCUUGACAUUUUGUCUUAAUGGAGUACCAAAUAUCCUUGAAAGUUUCUUUGCAAAGAAUGGUUUCUAGGAUCGAACGAUCAAUAGCUUGAAAUAAGUAAUUUUUUGCUUUCAAAUCUUUCAACUUCAGCCCCUUCAAGUCCUUUUUGUUGUAUUCUGUAAGCUUUUCUCCAUCUGUUGGUGUUGCUAUACUGUGCUUAAUGACUUGCCAAUACUCCUUGGACUGUAAGAAGUUCUCCAUCAACAUCUCCAAUGGUUAUAGUGACCAUCAAAAUGUGGAAUAGGUAGCUGCAAACAAUUUUCAAAAGCCAUAAGAGGACCAUAAACAUUUUUCUCUCACUGAAAAUACUCUUCUUUUACCAGGCUCUGACACCACUAUUAGCUUACUAAGGAGAUAACAGCAAGAUGAAAAAAAUAAAGGAAAUGGAAAAUAAGAUGAUCAACUCAUUUAUUCACAACCUUAAGAACCUAUUAUAUAGGCAAUUACAUGAUAGAAAAAUCAAGAAAUCGCACACUAACAACAAACGACUCAGAAUAGGACUCUUAACAACUAAGGAAAAAAAUCUAAACCAAAUAAACCCAUGAUCUGUAGCCACUAAAUCCUUGAUGUGCAACAACUAUAUGCCUAGAAACAAGGACAACAAACAUAUUUUAUUAACAAGUAUCCCUAUUUAAGUGAGCUUCUAGUGGCGAUCCUUGAAAAGGCUAUCUGAAUGGCAAAACUUUAUCACAUGCAAUCUUGAUGAUAAUGUUAUGGCGAAGAAGAGAAAAAUCAUUGAAAGUGACAACAAUGUUGGUAAAAAGGAAGAGCAUGAUAGGAUCAUACUCUAAAUUUUGUGUUCAAAGCUAUAGCAACGAAAGAAGGAAAAUUAAAAUAUAAAAUAUAAAAGAGCAGAUUUUUCACAAAUGAAAGCUUGAAAAGAACUUUAUUAGAUCAAUACAAGGAAAUGAAUACAAAGACAGUUGAUUUAGAAUUUCUUUUAUAAUAUAUAUAUUAUAAAACAUUAUUAAUUAUAACUUAAUAACUAUUCCUUAAGGAACAGAAGAGGAAAAUUUAAUACGAUUUCUAAGUGCAAUUGGUUCAAUGAGUAAUGAAGUGAUUCCACCCUUAGCCGCUUUUCCAACAUAUGUGUAGCCAUCACCUUCUCUAUAGAGUACAUCCAUCACCCUUGCAAGGUUUAAGCUACGAUUCAAAACUUCUGUUGGCAUUUCUGUUGGUUUCAGAAACUCUUGAUUCACAUCCUUCCAAGCACUCUCAACAUGCUUGUUGAAUACAUCAUAUGCCUCUUGUGCUGUUACACCAUAUUCUUCCAUGUAACACUCAAUUGCUGAGCAAUCGUCUUCUCUCCUAUGUUUGAACUGCAACCAUAAUAAAAUAAAAAUUAUUCAAUUACUAUAUAACCUAAAUUCUAUUCGUUUGUUAAACUAUAUAUAUUUUUAAAAUGAAACUAGAUAUCUUUUCUUAUUCUUCGAUUUAAGGCUAAACAUUUGAUAUAUAAACAUUAAACUUUAAUUGUUUCAAAUCAUGACAAAAACCAUCGUUAUUGAGUUAAUAGUUUGGUUUCUUGUGAUUAUUUAAAUAUAUUAUUAUACCUUGUGUUCAGCAACAUCAUCCAUAAACCUACAAAUAAUUGUGGAAGCUUGAAUGAUCUUAGGGUCAUUGGCUGCCCAUUUAAAGGUUUCUGGUGUUACAAUAUCUCCCAUGCCAACGAAAGAUGUAAUAGCAAGCAUGGCAUAACCACAAGUUGGCAAUGCAUUAGCCUUAAACUCCUCGAAUGAUGGUUUGUAGUUUUGAAGAGUCCAUCUGGCCUCCACAAGAUAAGAUUGAGCAAGUCGUAUCAUCUGAGGCAACAAAAUCCCAACAAUUAUCACUAAUAUCAAUUCAAAUUCAAUAAUAAUAUUUAAAUGAUUAUAUAUUGUUAUUCGAGUUAGUUGUUUAUUCAAAUCUAGAAUUUAGCUAAGAUCUUAUCUCUUUUGUACAAAAUAAAUGUUUGUUGAUGUACAUACCGCAUUUUUCGCAUAUUCGACACGAUAUUGUCUCCCAUGCUCAGCCACCAGUUGUUCCAUUUCUUCAUAAACAUCUAAUAGUGCCUUGUAGCUCGGCUUCAUGUAUUCAGGAAGUUCAUCUAUGCAUUUGAUAUCCCACCUGAAUUCAACUUCAAUGUUAACUUCAACUAAAGAAACCUAACCUAUUACCAACAAAAUUUUAGAAAUCUAACCUCUCAAUUGCAUUUGUAUAGGGAAUAAGCUCUUCAUAUGUUGCAUAUGAGUCAUAUGUAUCAUCUACAAUAGAUGCCAUUGCUAUCACUUUUGUCAACAUCUUUCUACCAAGAGAAUAUUGGGGCUCAAAAUACACUCCUGAGAUCCAAAAAUAGCCUUCAACCACUCUAUCUCUUGCGUAUGGCAACUUUCUUUGAAAGUCUAAAUCCUUCCACCACCUAAAAAAAUCAUAUCAUAGAAAACCCCAUUAGCAAAAUGAAUAUUCAAAGUUUUAAUUUGUUUCACAUUCAUGUUGUCAAUAAGUAAAUUGUUAGAUUCUUAAGUAAAUUGGCAACCUGAAAUUUUAAAAUAUAUAUAUAACUUAUAUAAUAUAAGUAAAAUAAUGUAAGUGAAAAAGAUGAAUCCAUCACUUUUAACUUGUGCUAUAUAUUAAGAUUCAAAUAUUAGCAUUUGCAACUCGUCUCCUAUAUUGAGAAUGAUGCCGCGAUUAAAUUCAACCCUCCUUCCACCAAAAAAAAAAAAAAGACAAAAAAGAAAAAAAAAUGGGUGAAAGAGAUUCAAAAACAUACCUAGAAAUCUCACUUAGCUCUUUUCUAUGCAAAAGUUGUACCAUGUUGAAAUCGAUCUUAGCAAACUCCAACAAAACCUUAUUAUGGGACUCAAUAUCUUGGUAUACUGAAAGAUAGUGUCUUGCCUCAACCCUUGGCAAGCCUCUUCGAAUUGAUUGUUUCAAAGCAUGAGAAACCUCUUCGGAUAAAGGAUGGUCCAAAGAUGCUACUGCAAGGCUUAAAUGGUUGCUGGUGAAAGAAAUUGCUUCAUCCAAUAUAUCUUCCCCAUGAACCCUCAAAUAGGAAGCUUGGUAAAGUUCCAACAAUCCUCGAACAUCGCUUGUCACGGAUGACUUGAAAUUCCCUUGCUCGUCUUUAAACUUGUUGAAUACGUCUGAGAUGAAAUUACCCAAAAUGAAAUAUUGUUAUCAAACAUUCCAUGCUAUUAUAUACUCAAGAAACUUAAAAAUACCAUGUUGUUGUUCCAGUAAUUACCGCAUGAAACAUUGAAUCCAUGCUCUCGGAGUAGUCGGAAUCGAAGGGAUGUGGUGUAGAGGUCGUUCUCGGCAUCAUUGUUGUUAUGGUAGAUAUUCUCUAGUUCAUCUUCGAUCUCCUUGGUGAAAUGGUAACUCACACCCAGUCUUUGGACUGAAUCAAUGAAGGCUAACUUUUGGGUUGAAUUAGCCAUUGGUGCCACAAUCAUCUU
rnacentral:lncRNA from 1 species